UGAUGGUAGAGGCGCACGACUCAAGAUUAGAUAUCCUGAUGCAGGGUAAGCAUAAGACGGAUAUCGAAAGGGGGAAGUGCCGAAGAGGUAUCACGACCCGGUGAUAUUUUCUGGUUGCAUGGUUAACAGCCAUUCGACUGUCAUCUAACGAUGGAGAGCUACCUUU
rnacentral:ncRNA from 1 species